AUGGAGCACGGCGAGGGGAGGCACGAGGCGGCGCUGAGGGCGGUGCAGAGGGCGCCGGCCAAGCCGUGGCGCGGCGCGGGCGCGGCGCCGCCGCCCAGGGUGUACCGGGUGGAGCCCCGGGACUUCCGGGAGCUCGUGCAGAGGCUCACCGGCGCCGGCACGGCGUCGACGGCGACGACGACGCAGGCGCCGGCUCACGCGGCCGCGGCGCACGGGCGCGGGGAGGCCGCCCCCGUGGAGCAGUUCGACUACUCGUCGUGGUUCUCCGCGCCGCUGCUCAGCCCCGCGUCCAUGCCGGCCGGCAUGGACGGACACCAUGGCGCUCUGCUGUAG
rnacentral:rRNA from 1 species